rnacentral:lncRNA from 1 species
AAUACUAUACAAAAAACAAAACUAUAGAUUACAAAAAAAAAAUCCGUCUAAUUGAUUAUGUUAAUGAAACAGCAUUUAAAAAUAGGUUCAUAGACAUAGUAACCACAAAGAAAAACAUUGAAUAAAUACAACCUACACAAGAGGCUUGAUUUGGUGAAGAUCCAUGAUAAUGCCACUCGCAACUUGAUUCAAACUUGUAUGGUCACUAUAGUGCUUCCCACAAAACUUGAACAAACGAAGACGUGUUUCAGUCAUUAAUAGCGAUGAUUCAAAAAUCAAACAUGACAUCUUCUAUAAAAGUGAGUUUUAUAAAGAAAUUAAAAAAACAAAUUCUCUCAAAUAUAUCAUAAAGUUUUAAAAUAUAUAAAUAUGUUUAAAAUUUAAAUUUUGCUGAAAGCUAUGAUAAAACACUAACAUAUGUUGAUAUCUACUAAUCACCAAAAAAAUCAGAUAAUAGUUUAAUAACUGAAACUAAAAAAUAGCAAAUAUCAAAAAAAAAAAUAUUAAUAAAAAUUCAACAUAAAUUUCCUCCGCGGCGUAGUGCGGAUAUUUACCUAGUCUAUAAUAAUAAAGUUGAAACUAGUCUCUCUAUAAUCAUCCACCUCAACAUAUAGCAUGGAGCGAUUAGUGAUAUGUGUCACCUUAAAUAAAUCUUAAACGAAACAAAAUGUUUCGUUCUUAAAAAACCAUUAUGAGCUUUUCCACUGUUUAUGACUUUUGUUUGCGUUUAUAUCAAAUUGUCCUGGCCCAUUUAAUUAAGGGCAGAACUUGGGUUCACCCCUAAGGAAUUAACGUUGUUACACCGUCCAUCGUUCUUCUUCUUCAUCGCUUUACACAAAACAUAUGAAUAUAAGGGUUUGUCAAGCUUCAAUCUCCAAUUCUGUUCUUUCAAAUCCUAAUUCAAUUUUACCUUCUCUAAGCUAAAUCAACCACGUUCAUCCAUGGAUUUCUGGAAAAAAGUAUCAAACAAGAGGAAGAAGAAGAUGGAGAAGAAGGGCUUCAAGUUAAGAAGGCUCACCAACAACCUAAUUAUGGAGUUAGAGAGAACUCAUAAUGGAGAGGUUGGGGUUGGUGCGCU